rfam:Saprospiraceae bacterium KD52 Scaffold1_12, whole genome shotgun sequence.
GCUGCCGGCUGCUCUGUCGCGGUUGCCGGGUACGCCCGGCAGGUGAGGAAAGUCCGGACAACGUAGAGCGCCACGCCACCUAACGGGUGGGCUUCGGCUUACGCCGGGGACAGAAAGUGCCACAGAAAGCUAUACCGCCUAUACCGUAGCUGUUGGCAGGUGGGCAAGCCCGCCUUCGCCGAGGCUUCGGUGGGCAAGGGUGAAAACGUGCGGUAAGAGCGCACGCUCUGCUUUGGCAACAAAGCGGAGGGGUAAACCUCGUGGGUUGAAAUGUCACGUACAUCCCGAUCGGGCAUACGCCUGGCUGAGUUGCUCGCUCAGCUCACUCCGGUGAUUCGGGAGGGGUAGACAGCUCGACCCUGCUCGUGAGGGCAGGGCUAGAUAAAUGACAGAGGUCCCGGUUUGACCGGGAUACAGAAUCCGGCUUACAGGCUUGCAGCAAAA